CCUACGGGAGGCAGCAGUGGGGAAUAUUGCACAAUGGGGGGAACCCUGAUGCAGCGACGCCGCGUGAGUGAAGAAGUAUCUCGGUACGUAAAGCUCUAUCAGCAGGGAAGAAAAUGACGGUACCUGACUAAGAAGCCCCGGCUAACUACGUGCCAGCAGCCGCGGUAAUACGUAGGGGGCAAGCGUUAUCCGGAUUUACUGGGUGUAAAGGGAGCGCAGACGGUGAUGCAAGCCAGAAGUGAAACCCCAGGGCCCAACCCUGGGACUGCUUUUGAAACGGAGUGGCUAGAGUGCAGGAGGGGUAGGCGGAAUUCCUGGUGAAGCGGUGAAUUGAGUAGAUAUCAGGAGGAACACGAGUGGCGAAGGCGGCUUGCUGGACUGUAACUGACGUUGAGGCCCGAAAGCGUGGGGAGCAAACAGGAUGAGAUACCCCUGUAGUC
rnacentral:rRNA from 1 species